UGAAGGCUAGGCUGAACUCUUCACUGAAGUGAUAAAAAGCCUUUACUGGUGAAUUUUUGUUAUGCUUCAAUUACUUGCAUUUCAAUUACACUUUCUCUAAUACCAGAUCUCCUCGUCAUCCUGUUAAACACACAUUCAAUAGCUGUCCUUUUCUUAUUAACCAUGCACUGGAAAAAGCAAAAUAUUUCCUCAAAGGCCUGUAGAGAAUAUUCUUGGAACCCACUGCAACCUUAUUGCUUGGGGAAGAUUUAGUCUAAAGAUACCUGUACUUCAUCUCCCUGAAUCAAAAGCAGAUAAAAAGCUGAAGCACAGAAAAGAAAAACAAUUUGCUCAAGGUCACAUAACUGAUGACUGGGAGCCGGGAUUCAACUCCAUCAGCAAAGCCUGGGCAAAGUAGACCCAUACCCAGUGAGACCAAGGUUGCAGCAGGAGGAGCCUGUGCAGACUGCAGAUACACCUAUGACAGCGUGAACAAGCCUGUCCCAUACCGGCUAACUGGGUUAGCCAAAGCUGGGCUACAGAACCUGUAUUUCCUCUAAGUGACAAGAAAUAUUUAAAGGAACUUGAAGAAUAUUGGGGAGUAGGUCCACAUUUUGCCAGGUUAUGACAAACACCUGGUAUUUCAGGAAUGCUGACGUGAGCCAAAGGUCUUCUUUGCUGUUCCUCUGAGAAAUCCCCCCAGUUGAGCUGCCAAAAGGGGAAGGAAAUGAUCCUCCAAUAUUAUUUAGAUUUGUCUCUCAUCAGAGAUGAUACUAUCAUCAGAAAACAGAGUUGAGAAUUUAUUAAGAAGUGGUUUGGAGAAUGGAAAAUGUUGAACCAAAUCUGUAAUUUGAUGCUAUAAUUUGUUAGUGUUGAACACCAACAUGACACUAAUGGUCAUGAGUUUAAAGAGAGCAGUCAAUACUGCUUUGAGAUGUUUUCUGGUAAUAAAUUAACUUUUCAAGAGUAAAUUGCUGGGCUUAACUAGUUAGGGCUUUGUCAACUUGAUAUGACUGAUUAGCCAGUGUUGAAAGUAUUAAUAAUCUUUGUAAGGGAGUGUCACAUUAUAGAAUCUAACAUCUCUAAGCAAGGAAGGGAAAAUAUGAAAAGAGUGAUGGGCAGUGAAAGAGUGAGUAUAGUCUAAUGUACCUGAUUUACUGUGAAUUCAUUUUGGCAUCUCUCCCUUAAAACUUCACAAAACUUAAUUUUCAGUAUGAAUUUUAGAUUAUUUUCCACAAAAACUCCUCACAGUUAUAUAUAUAGACUUUAAAA